UAACAAGGAUUCCCCUAGUAACGGCGAGUGAAGCGGGAAGAGCUCAAAUUUAAAAUCUGGCAGUCUACGAUUGUCCGAAUUGUAAUCUCGAGAAGUGUUUUCCGCGUUGGCCUGUGCACAAGUCCCUUGGAACAGGGCGUCAUAGAGGGUGAGAAUCCCGUCCUUGGCACAGAUACCCAAUGCUUUGUGAUACACUCUCAAUGAGUCGAGUUGUUUGGGAAUGCAGCUCAAAAUGGGAGGUAAAUUCCUUCUAAAGCUAAAUACUGGCGAGAGACCGAUAGCGAACAAGUACCGUGAGGGAAAGAUGAAAAGCACUUUGGAAAGAGAGUCAAACAGUACGUGAAAUUGUUGAAAGGGAAACGAUUGAAGUCGGUCGUGCCUGCCUAGAUUCAGCCUUCUGGUGUAUUUCUAGGUCGGCAGGUCAGCAUCAGUUUGGGAGGGUUAACAAGGGAAUUAGGAAUGUGGCAACCUCGGUUGUGUUAUAGCCUAGUUUCGUAUUGAUCUUGCUGGACUGAGGAACGCAGUGCGCCCGCAAGGGUAGGUCUUCGGACACUUUCGCACUUAGGAUGCUGGCGUAAU
rnacentral:rRNA from 1 species